AUUGAACGCUGGCGGCAUGCUUUACACAUGCAAGUCGAACGCGAAAGCGGGGGCAACUCCGCCGGUAGAGUGGCGAACGGGUGAGUAAUACAUCGGAACGUACCCGAGUUGUGGGGGACAACCAGUCGAAAGACAGGCUAAUACCGCAUACGCUGGAGACAGGAAAGGGGGCGCCCGCAAGGGGCUCUCGCAAUUGGCGCGGCCGAUGUCGGAUUAGCUAGUUGGUGGAGGUAAAAGCUCACCAAGGCGACGAUCCGUAGCUGGUCUGAGAGGAUGAUCAGCCACACUGGGACUGAGACACGGCCCAGACU
rnacentral:rRNA from 1 species